rnacentral:rRNA from 1 species
UACGGAGGGAGCUAGCGUUGUUCGGGAUUACUGGGCGUAAAGCGCACGUAGGCGGCUUUGUAAGUUAGAGGUGAAAGCCCGGAGCUCAACUCCGGAACUGCCUUUAAGACUGCAUCGCUUGAAUCCAGGAGAGGUGAGUGGAAUUCCGAGUGUAGAGGUGAAAUUCGUAGAUAUUCGCAAGAACACCAGUGGCGAAGGCGACUCACUGGACACAUAUUGACGCUGAGGUGCGAAAGCGUGGGGAGCAAACAGG